UCCUCACUGUACAUACAUACAAGGAAAUUUGUCCUCUGCAUUUAACCCAUCCUAAUUACAGUUAGACACAAUCCAACCACUAGGACCAGUGGGCUGCCACAGUCUAGCGCCCGGGGACCAAUUCCAGAUGUAGACGUGGAGAAAAAAACUAUUUAU